GGUGUCUAAGGUAAGUUUGGCAGUUUGACCAGUGGUUUUUAAGUGGGAGCUACUCGCAGUGAUUCGAUCUCUGAUGAGUUAAUGGCUUAUCCCCACCACUGAUCUCACUUAUCUGGCCAACCUGGUGAAUUAGAUUUUGAUUAGAUCACUUGGUGAUUAGGGCUCACCCAUGUCAUUAGGUCAAUCAGUGUGACUGAUUUAGGUGCUCCUAAUGCCGGCUUUAAUUAAAUCCUUUUUAAUCUGACUUGGUGAAGUCAGUGGGAGGAUUGAAAUUGGCUGGAUAUGAUAUUUUCUUCUCAUCUAUCCUUUAAUAAAAUUUUCAAAAUUAUUAGGUCCCUAAAAUGAUUAAGUUAUAGUGAUAACUAAGUCAUAGCCUCCCAUUAAGUGAGUGAUAAUCAGUCCAUUAGUUUAAUAAUCAUUGGAGGCCCAAAGGCCUGGUGCUUAUUGACUAAUAGAAUUAUCAUUCAUAAUAUGAUAAUUUGGUUUGAGUCUUUCUGAUAGUGGUCAGGUUGGCCGGCCAAAGUCGGGCCUGAUCAUUUAUUGGUCCGAUUCACCAAAUCAAGUCAUGUU
rnacentral:lncRNA from 1 species